GAAGCUUUAGCUUAAUUAAAGUGUCUGGGUUGCAUUCAGAAGAUGUGGGGUAAUAUCCUGCAGGUUUUA
rnacentral:tRNA from 1 species